UUCUCCAUCACCAACACCACCAGCAUCACCGCCACCAUCAACAAUGACUCACCAAUCUUCCCUUGAUCAAAAGCCACCAACUUUUCCAUUUCGUUUCCCCAGCAUUCAAUCCUCAGUCCUUCCCGAUCCUUCUCUCUUCUUUUCACCUUCUCUUCUGUCGUCUCCAUUGCCUACAAAUUCUUUCUUUCAGAACUUUACCCUUAAAAAUGGCGACCAACCUGAAUAUAUUCACCCAUAUCUAAUCAAAUCCUCUGAUUCUUCCCUUUCUAUCUCCUACCCAUCUCUUUUUCAUAAUUCUUCUUUCACGUACCAGAUUUUUGUCCCUGAUUUCACCAUUUCUGCUUCAAACAAACCCUCCACAGGUCAGAAAAACCAUAUUAUAUCUUCUUACAGUGAUCUUAGUGUCACUUUGGAUAUGCCCUCUUCAAAUUUUCGCUUUUUUCUUGUUAGGGGAAGUCCCUUUUUAACUUGUUCGAUUACAGGCAAUACUGCAAUUUCUAUAUCAACCAUCCAUGCGAUUCUUUCGUUUUCCUCAAAUAAUUCUCUCACUAAAUAUACCGUUAAGCUUAAUAAUGGCCAAACAUGGCUUAUUUACUCAUCUUCUCAGAUUAACUUGAGUCAUAGCCUUUCUUUAAUUACUUCUGAUGGGUUUUCUGGGAUUUUAAGGAUUGCAAUAUUGCCUGAUUUUGACCCAAAAUAUGAAGCGAUUCUUGAUCGGUUUAGUUCUUGCUAUCCGGUAUCAGGUAAUGCAGUUUUUACCAAACCAUUUAGUUUAGAGUACAAAUGGGAAAAGAAAGGCUGGGGUGAUUUGCUUAUGCUUGCUCAUCCUUUACAUGUCAAGCUUUUAUCUGAUGAAAAUGUUAUUGUUUUAAAUGAUUUGAAGUAUAAAAGUAUUGAUGGUGAUCUUGUUGGUGUUGUUGGAGAUUCUUGGGUGUUAAAAUCGGACCCAAUUUCAAUAACUUGGCAUUCAAUUAAGGGUAUCAAAGAGGAAUCAUGUGUUGAAAUCGUGGCUGCACUUUGUAAGGAUGUUGAGGGUUUAGAUUCAUCAGCUAUAACAACAAAUUCAUCUUAUUUUUAUGGUAAAUUGAUUGCUAGAGCGGCGAGGUUGGCUUUGAUAGCAGAGGAGGUUGGUUGUCUUGAUGUGAUUCCACUGAUAAGAAAGUACUUGAAAGAAACAAUUGAGCCUUGGUUGGAGGGUACUUUUAAUGGCAAUGGUUUUUUAUAUGAUGAUCAAAAGCCACCAACUUUUCCAUUUCGUUUCCCCAGCAUUCAAUCCUCAGUCCUUCCCGAUCCUUCUCUCUUCUUUUCACCUUCUCUUCUGUCGUCUCCAUUGCCUACAAAUUCUUUCUUUCAGAACUUUACCCUUAAAAAUGGCGACCAACCUGAAUAUAUUCACCCAUAUCUAAUCAAAUCCUCUGAUUCUUCCCUUUCUAUCUCCUACCCAUCUCUUUUUCAUAAUUCUUCUUUCACGUACCAGAUUUUUGUCCCUGAUUUCACCAUUUCUGCUUCAAACAAACCCUCCACAGGUCAG
rnacentral:lncRNA from 1 species